rnacentral:tRNA from 1 species
UAAAACGUAGCUCACUGGAAAGAGUUCUUAGCUGUUAACUAAGUUGUUGCGGGAUCAAGACCCGUCGUUUUAG